UACGAAGGGGGCGAGCGUUAUUCGGAAUCACUGGGCGUAAAGCGUGCGUAGGCUGUUCUGUAAGUUGGAAGUGAAAGCCCAGGGCUUAACCCUGGAAUUGCUUUCAAAACUACAGGACUCGAGUCCGGGAGAGGAUAGCGGAAUUUCCAGUGUAGUAGUGAAAUACGUAGAUAUUGGAAGGAACACCAGUGGCGCAAGCGGCUAUCUGGACCGGUACUGACGCUGAGGCACGAAAGCGUGGGGAUCUAACAGG
rnacentral:rRNA from 1 species